rnacentral:rRNA from 1 species
AUUGAACGCUGGCGGCAUGCUUUACACAUGCAAGUCGAACGGCAGCACGGGCUUCGGCCUGGUGGCGAGUGGCGAACGGGUGAGUAAUAUAUCGGAACGUACCCAGAAGUGGGGGAUAACGUAGCGAAAGUUACGCUAAUACCGCAUACGACCUAUGGAUGAAAGCAGGGGACCGCAAGGCCUUGUGCUCCUGGAGCGGCCGAUAUCUGAUUAGCUAGUUGGUGAGGUAAAGGCCCACCAAGGCGACGAUCAGUAGCUGGUCUGAGAGGACGACCAGCCACACUGGAACUGAGACACGGUCCAGACUCCUACGGGAGGCAGCAGUGGGGAAUUUUGGACAAUGGGCGCAAGCCUGAUCCAGCAAUGCCGCGUGAGUGAAGAAGGCCUUCGGGUUGUAAAGCUCUUUUGUCAGGGAAGAAACGGUAGAGGCUAAUAUCCUGUGCUAAUGACGGUACCUGAAGAAUAAGCACCGGCUAACUACGUG